AGGGAUACCGGCGAGAAAUCGCCGACAAUCCCGCAUAGGCUCUCUUGUCACAGAGAGAGCAAAGUCUGUCGCGCGAGCGGCAGGCGCUUUGGGAUGGGCCUGUGGCCGAUUAGCUAGCUGGUGGGGUAAGGGCUCACCAGGGCCAUGAUCGGUAGCUGGUCUGAGAGGACGAGCAGCCACACUGGGAUUGAGAACGGCCCAG
rnacentral:rRNA from 1 species